ACAAAAGGCACCUUGUAAAUGGAAAGCAGUAGGAGUCAGAGAGAGGCCAAGGCUGAGCAGCAGGCAGCUGGGUGCUCUGCAUUCCACUAUCUUGGAGGAGUGACUGAGGCCACAGCCCUCGAUUGUAGACAUCCUGGAAAUGGCUUCAAAACAUGACUGAAAUCUCCUUGAGGAGCAUAAUGUGGAGGGUGGGCCCUAAUCCAAUCUGUCAUUAUAAGAAGAGGAAAUUUGGACACAAAAAGAGACACCAGGGGCGUAUGUACACAGAGAAAAGAUCACGUGAGGACACAGAGAGGUCUGCAAACCAAGAAGAGAAGCCUCAGAAGAAACAAAACCAGCCAACCCCUUGAUCUUGGACUUGUAGCUUCCAGAAUUGUGAGGAAAUAAAUUUCUGUUUUAAAGCCA
rnacentral:lncRNA from 10 species